GGCAUCUAGAAGAUUUUAUUGAUAUUGUUUUUAACUAAAUUAUGAUCAUUUUAAUGUGUACAGACGUUUAAAAAUGGUCUUAACUUGCUUCUUCAUAAAAAUAUUAAUAUAAAAGCCUCUAUAAGAUGCCCUAGAUAAUAUUAUUUUAUUUAAAUUGUAUGAGGUUAAUUCACUCUAGUUUUAGAAAUUACAGAAUAAAAUGUAUUAUUGUGAACGGAAAAUUUGCCAUGUUGUAUAACAGACUAGACAGAGACAGCACAUGCGGGUGUGGUGUCCUCUUAAAUAUCUAAUUUCGUAUUUUCGUCCUAAUUUCUACUUUACAGGUUUAAAGUUCAAAUGAUUACAAAAAAAAACUCUUGUAUACAUGUAUCUUUAAAAACAAGUUAUAAGGAACCUUUUAUUUUUUAAAUUUUUAUAAAUAGUUCAAAAAACAUCAUAAUUUUAAUUUAAAAAAAUAUACCAUGUAUAUAAAAUACUAAUUCAAACAUUUGGUGAAAAAUUCAAAUACCUGCAGAUUUAUUUUUGAAUUACAAAAAAAAGAAUAUAGAUUUUGCCAAAAACUGAUUUUCAUUGUAAAUUUCCAUAUUUUUCCCCCUUAAUUAAAAGUACCUAGGUACUGGAUAUUUUUACUUUUGAUCUCCUGAGGCCCAAAGUACUAACUAUAUUCAAUUUACAGCCAGAAGAUAUUGUUUGAAUUGAAAACAUAAGAAUUUUAAUUGCUUCAAAAGGUGAUGAGGUUAAAAAAGGAAAAAAGAAGAAACUUAAACACGCACACACACGCGCACAUAUAUUAAUAAUAUGAUCAAUACAUUUAUCAUUCUGCGGCUCAGAAUCUAAAAUGGGAUUAAAAAAUGGCUACGAUAGUCGGAUAAUACGUAUAUCUAGGAAUGUUAAUGUUUACGAAUGUGAUGGUAUCAUAAUUAUUCAUAAGUUCAGCAAGGCACCAGUGGUUAGUACCUGCACAACCUGCAGGCGCAACAAUCAGCAUAGCCGUUAUAGGUACACUCAUUAUAGAAAAAGAUUUGACUUCAACUAAAAUAAAUUACGUAUUCAAAAGAUAUUAGGUAU